CUUCAUUAUACUGCCAAAAUUCUUUUAAAAUGUUAAAAUUUUUGAGUAAAAAGUAAAUUUUUGCAAUUGCAGAAAUCUAAAUACGAUAUUUUGGCCAUUUUGUUGUUUAGUAUUAAAUAUUAUUCACAAUUAAGGAGUUUGACAUAGAAAAAAAUUCGCUUUAUACUGAACUUUAAUAUUGUUUAUUAAGCUGCGACACCGUUUUGUAUGAUGUAUGAAAUUUUGGCGUGCUAUCGUGAACUUCAAUCCUAAAGUGUGGGCAGUGUCAUGCGGGGUAUAUUCUGAAUAAAUAGCUCGAUAACUCGAGCCCACGAUCAGCGAUACAAGUAGACGAUCACUCUGAAGAGUCAAUGGUCUUAGGAGGCGGUUCCGCCUCAAGCAAAUUACUGCAAGGAUGUUUUUUAAAAUAUCCCAACAGAAACUGCUUGGGGAAAAGUGCGUUAUGCUCCUUAACCGGAAGAAGAAUGCCAGCCUCACUAUGCAGUUGUUCGAUAGAGGACAUAAAAAGACAGCCUGUAAUAGUUCGCAGUGCGUUGCACUGACAUGUCUAAAUCUUAUCCAACUGCGACCCUGCCCUAGGUGCUGCUGACUAGACUAGCCAUUUGCAUGUGGACUGAAGGAGUACAGAUUGCUUUGUUGACUGUCGGAACUUUAGCGUCUGCGCCGAAAAUGUUGAGGUCUAUUCUACCUAUAUUCCUGCAUCCAGUUAGUAAAUAUAGUUGUGGAUUUAGCAAGUUAGAGCUCCUUGCAGUGAGGAUGUGAUAAUCUAACUCGAACGACUUUGAUCGAUGUACUUGCUCUACUUCUUAGCUGAAAUUGUUGCUUCAGCUAUUGAAAGGAUACAGGAAGGAGCGUGUCGGAUUACUUCAGUUCUAUCUAUAUUUUAAUCAGAUGGGAAUCGUUGAAUGAAAUGAAGUUGAGGUCUUUUAAAAGUCUAUUUUAUCACAAACACAUGGAGUGGCACAAAGAAUUCAGUGAAGGUCGUGAAGUCAUCGAAAAUUCGUCAUAUGCGAUUCGUUCUCCAAACUCUAUUCAUGACGAUAUCAUCGAAAAUGUUAAGGAAGUUGAAAAUCGUAGUGUUGGCAUUAGAGCGAUAGCAGAGGAUUUCAACAUCUCUUAUGGAUCGACUCAACACAUUUGGUUAAUGUUUUGGAUAUGAAACUUGUCAAUGUUAGAUUCGUAAUUAAGCAAUGACAGCCUUGUAUUGGCUUGAAAGCUGCUUAUUUUGAAAGCGACAACAAAUAUUUGUUUUAAAGUUUUUUGGCAGUCCGGAUAUAAUUUGUUAACUUGCAUAAGGAUAGUUAAAUUUAAAUAAUGCCAAAUGUAAAAUAAACCCGGUGGUCUGUUUAUUUAAGAAUACAA